CUCGACCGGCUCCUCCUCCUUUCGUCCUGCACAGGACAGAAGAAGAAAACGCAUGGUACUCCGGUGUGGUGGCUGAAGGUACGACGACCGGCUCCUCCUCCUCUCCUGAAGAAAUGGACAAUACCGAAGUCAUCUCUAUGAGUGGGAGCUCCGCAUAGAGUGGGGACAUUGUAUGGACUCCUUCCAAGACCAACAAGAUGUUGGGGUUUUUCGCUGACCUUCUUGCUAAAGGGAAGAUGACUUCUAGUGGAUUCAGGGAGGCACAUCACAAACAUUGUGCUGCUGUUUUGAAUGAGCAGUUCAAACUAGCUGUCACUUGAUAACAAGUUAGAAACCAUCUCAAGAAAUGGAGGAAGAUUUGGGGAAGGGUAGUCAACUUGAAGAAUUUAAGUGGAGCUCUAUGGGAUGAAGAUACUUGCACAAUUAGGCUUAGCGAAGAACACUAUGUAGGUUGUUGCAUGACACACAAAGCUGAUGCCCCUUUCCUGAAUACCCCAAUUGAACACUAUCAUGCCACGGAGACCAUUUUUGGGACAACCGCGGCUACUAGGAUAAAUGCUAGGUCUAGGAAUGAUCUACUUUCUAUUGAUGUGGACGAUGAAGACAAUGGUGAGGUGAACACAUCACCCAAUGUUGGCCAGUCCAAACACCCCAAAGGACCACCAAAAAAGAAGGCAAAGGUAGUGAAUGUUCUUGAAGAUCCACUUGUUACCACUCUCAACUAUGGGUUCAAACAUGUGGGUGAUGCUCUUGUGAAGUCUGGGGAUGAUGGUGCUAUACCCGAUGAACUUUGGGAUGAGGUCUACAAGUUGGAAGCUUUUGAUGAGGAACAACUAGCCCACUACUAUGCUCAUCUUGUUGACAAUCCAAAGAUCGUAAAAGCCUUCAUGACACUUUUUGAAACCAACAAAUCUGUUUGGGUGAGUAGGUAUGUGAAUAAAAACUUCUAAAUUCAAUACGGUUGUAUGGUUCUCAAGUAUGUGAACUUGACAUGUAUGGAUGUGCUGCCAUUUGGUUGCUUUUGGAUAUUUGGUAUGUGAACAACAUGUAUGGCUAGUGCACUUUGCUUUGGAUUGUAUUGAACCAAGACAUGUAAUGGUUGAUU